GUGAGGAAUUUUGCGCAAUGGGGGCAACCCUGACGCAGCGACGCCGCGUGGAGGACGAAGUCUCUCGGGAUGUAAACUCCUGUCAGUGGGGACGAUAAUGACGGUACCCACAGAGGAAGCACCGGCUAACUCCGUGCCAGCAGCCGCGGUAAGACGGAGGGUGCAAGCGUUGUUCGGAAUUACUGGGCGUAAAGCGUAUGUAGGCGGCAAGUUAAGUUCAAUGUUAAAGCCCACGGCUCAACCGAGGAGAUGCAUUGAAUACUGGCUAGCUAGAGGGUGUUAGAGGAAGACGGAAUUCCCAGUGUAGCGGUGAAAUGCGUAGAUAUUGGGAGGAACAUCGGUAGCGAAAGCGGUCUUCUGGGACAUACCUGACGCUGAGGUACGAAAGCGUGGGGAGCAAACGGGAUUAGAAACCCCAGUAGUCC
rnacentral:rRNA from 1 species